UACGUAGGGUGCAAGCGUUAAUCGGAAUUACUGGGCGUAAAGCGUGCGCAGGCGGUUCUAUAAGACAGAUGUGAAAUCCCCGGGCUCAACCUGGGAACUGCAUUUGUGACUGUAGAGCUGGAGUACGGUAGAGGGGGAUGGAAUUCCGCGUGUAGCAGUGAAAUGCGUAGAGAUGUGGAGGAACACCGAUGGCGAAGGCAGCCCCCUGGGUUAACACUGACGCUCAGGCACGAAAGCGUGGGGAGCAAACAGG
rnacentral:rRNA from 1 species